UUUAUUGGAUUGAAAUGAGAUCAACUACCUUUUACUUUGCUCCCAGUCGUUGGUGCGGGAACCUAAUCCAAGAAAUUCUUCAAUUCUUUUCCUUUAUAUGGCUGAAGGAAUAUAUGAGAUAAUCUCCAUCCAUCUAUUGAGAUUUUAUUAUUAUAGGAAGUGUGGAGAGUUCGUUGUACAUGUCGGUUGUUCUAUAAACACAGAAACAUGUAUAACCUGGAUAGAAAAUACAGCUUUUACGGAAUAAACAAGGCUGCUAUGUUAGCUGGAUACAAACAAGCACUUGGUUUUACAAACACAAAUAGUAGUAUGGGCAGAGUUUGAAAACAAGGCUCCCGUUAUAGCUGAACCGAUUGAAGAUCAAAUUAAGCACACUAAUGAUGUGCACCAGCACCCUCUAAGAAUACGGCUUGACAUGUGAUGUAUUAAUUUACGACUUCACGAUGUUUGUUUUAAUUUCCUGACAGAAGGGCGUGUGUGGCAUUUCAACUCAGUAUUUGUAAUUGCUAUAUCAAUGAGCAGAUACCUGAUAUAAAUCCUUUUUUAGGAAAUUAUAUCUUCAAAAGUAAAAAAUUGCACCAAAAGUUCUUUUGUUCUUAGCUUGAUUCGUCCUAUAUUUCUUUCGCAUCCUUUUACUUUGAAAAUAAGUUUAGCAGUUCGUUCAUGCCACUUAUAUAUCUAACAGCUAUAUUCUACUCUAACGUUUCAGAGGUAACUCAUAUAGUCAUAUAAAUAGUGUCCCUAACAGUAAACUGGAUUAUUGCAAAAGGUUCAGGCGUUCGGCUAUUCAAACUUUCUCAAUCUUGAACAACGUUCCGCUUUCAACUUCAGGUAAUGAGUAAGGAAUUGCAGUUCUUUGCAUUUUUUUCAAUUCAGCCCGUUUGUGCGAGUGGUGCAACUUGGACUCUAUCUUUCAAGGUUUUUGAGUCUCCAAGUCAAAACGAGUCGACGACCCUGUGGCUUGGCGAUUAGUCAAAGAAAGUUGUUGUACAGCUCCGCUCUCUCGCUUGCUUUUCCUCCUUUCAAGUGGUCUCGAAGCACACCUUGGCGGAUCUAUUCCAUCCUGAUUAGGCAUGGCAUUUUUCCAAAUGGGGAAAGUGGUGGAUGUGGAACUGUGGUGUCCAUCAUGUCGGCUUAUGAAGGCUUCCCCUUGAACCGGUGGCCCAUGAAGAAGACGUAGCCGUGAUGCCAAAGGAGCUAUAGGUCAAGCCUCUCUGCUAUUAUCCCUUGGCUGCAGUCUGGUAUUGGCAUUUCAUCACUCUCUCAUGCCAACCAUUGAAAACUCACGCAUGGACAAUGAUGAAACUAUGUGCAACUGUGUAGUAAGUUAUGUACUAGGUGUUUUCUCAUUACCAAAUUACAUUGAAUCUACCAGUAAUCAUUGUUAAUAAUAGUAAAUUGGUAUGGUGUUAAAAAAAUCAGCUUCACCGGUAAAAGUGAACAUGUA